rnacentral:hammerhead_ribozyme from 1 species
GCACUGCUGGAGAGUCCUAAACAGGACGAAACAGCUUUCCAGUGC